GGCGGACGGGUGAGGAACGCGUGAAUGACCUGCCCUGCUGGUGGGGGAUACCAGCCAGAAAUGGCUGUUAAGACCGCAUACGACCCGGUGCUGCGAGGUGCUGGGGGAAAGCCGAGAGGCGCCGGAGGGAGGGGUUCGCGUCGGAUUAGCUAGUUGGUGGGGUAAGGGCCUACCAAGGCGACGAUCCGUAGCUGGUCUGAGAGGACGGCCAGCCACACUGGGACUGAGACACGGUCCAGACCUCAUACGGGGAGGCAAGCAGUAAGGGAAUUUUUGGCAAUGGGCGCAAGCCUGACCGAGUGACGCCGUCGUGUGGGAUGACUGCCUUUCGGGGUGUAAACCACUUUUCUUCGGGACGAGCGAGGACGGUACCGGAGGAAGAAGCCUCGUGCUAACUACGUGCCAGCAGCCGCG
rnacentral:rRNA from 1 species